UUAAACAUCACAGCUUCUAGAGGUACAAAAAAAUACACGAUUUUGUUUUCUAGUUGCAAGGGUUUAACUAUAGUAUGGUGACUAUGGUCGCACCAUAACUAUAGUUAAAGUUUUUUGAAUUUCUUUAAUCGAAAAGAGGCGCGUAGAAGUUAGGGUUUCACAGCUCUGCGUUUACGGUUUGAGAGAGGAGGAAGAAGGAAGAGAGAGAAGAAGGUUACGGUUUAGAGAGAGGAAGAAGACGGAAGAGACGAAAAUAGGGCUGGGCUCAUAGCCAGGGGUUAUAGAGAGAGAAGAAAGGAAGAAGGAAGAGGUCACGGGCUUCACAAACCCUAAUGGAAGAGGCCCUAACUGAUUUUUAGUAAGAGAAAAGGAAGAUUGAUUUUUAGUAAGAGAAAAGGAAGAUGUGAUGCUGAUUUGGGAUAGUUUGAAGAGGGUUUUUCUCUCUGAUUUGGGAUGUUGUUUGAGAGAAAGCCCUAACUAUACUGAUUUGUCAAGAGGCCUUAACUGAUUUUUAGAGAGAGAGAAAGGAAGAGGGUUCAUUUUCUUGGGGAAACAGCAAGCAGAGCUGAAGGAUUAGGUUUGGGGACUAAUCCUAUAUGUACAAUUGCUUGCUCCUGGUCGGAGGUGAGGAUGCUGUGGCGGUGGAGGUGUGAUGGUCCUGGCAGUGAGGGCCAAGCGGUGGAGUUGUGGUGGCGCUGGGAGAGAGGAGGGACGGAGGGAGGGACGGACGGAAAGGGAGGAGAGGCGAUGGGAUAAAGUUGGCCCAUUUUAUAAGUGAAAUGAAAGUAAUGUGAUUAUGGGUACUCCUACAUCCGUUUUCGUCAUUGUAUUGCUUGCGCCACCACUGGGAACUUCUCACUCUUUAGCGCCCUUGACGAGAGACUUCAGAAAGAGGAAUUCAAUAGGACAAGGAUCGCGUAAGCCAAGACGGACAGCAAAUUUUAUGAUCACCAUGCUGUUCCAUCUUGGCUUACUGUGAUCGUUGUCCAUGGCAUCCAACAAAUGGUUAGCGAAGGGUGGUUGUGGAGAUCAGGAGUGGAUUCCAUUGGGUAGGAAAUUGGAGGAAGAAUGCCCAUCUUUCAUCACAUAUCCUGAAGACAUGGAGGAAGUUAUUUGGGGUUGUUUUAGAGAGAGGAACGGGGCUGAUUCAUCGCGUUUAAGGUGGAUUUUUGGCAGCCAUCAACAAGAGUUAAGAUCGGGGGAAUGCAAUCGGACUUACGGGGUUAUGUGAAAGCUUAAACCAGAUUUUUUUCUGCAAAAGUUAUGUGCGGAUUUGAUUUCAAAAUUCAUAUUUCUUAGAGGCAAAUAUGAAUGUUAAAAGGAAAUGAUGAUAACUUAUUUGUAGUGUUAAUGGGAGUUGUUAUGGUAGAUGUGUAAAAUUUUUUGUGCUUUGCUUUCCAUGUUGUAUUGAAAAGAAGAUUGUAAUCAGAAUGUUGGAGAUGAUGAUUGUGAAUUAUGAAAAGAAGAUUGAACUCAGAAUAUUGGAGAUGAUGCUUGUGAAUUAUUAUGCUGCAAACUGUUUUUAUCUUGUAAUUCAUUUUCUGUUCUGUAUUGAGGUGUUAAGCAUAUGUAUGUGUUGUCUUUGAAUUAAGAAUUCGCAUAAUAGAUAGUACCUUGUUUUCCUACAAAUUAGUUUAAGAGCGAAGUGCACUUGAAUGAAUGUUUAUUAUUGGUAUUUUUGUUAUUGGUGUAUUUGCUGAAAUUAUUGAGAGAGUCUCUCAUGUAUAGUUUCUGCUCAAAGUGUUUGCUGUUUUGAAGGAUUUCUCAAAUUAUUUGUACAUCGAUUAUUUGCUCUACUUUUAUAAGAGGGAAAUUUUUUGGAAAAUUGCAUUAAACAUUAAGUUGUAAGAACUCAAGUUUAUAUAUUCUAGCUGAAUCUUUCAGUCAAAUGCUGGCCUCAGUGAAUAACAACGGCUUUCUUUUUGGCUUUUGAGUGGCAUCUGCGGUAUUGUUAAUCUCAUACUUGCAGUAGCAAAUGACAAUAAUAGUUUAAGAUGUGUCUGAUGAUAAAAUGGAAGACCUUUAGCUCUUUAAGGACUUGACAAAGCUAAUUGCUUGCGAGGAAGAUGAAGUCAAGCGUCUUGCCAAGGUGAUGGGAUAUGGAGUUGAUAGAUUCCCUUGUAAGAACCUUGGCCUCCCUUUACAGAUCGCCAUCUCUCAAGAGCAGGUUGGGAUCCAUGUUGGAGAGAUUCCAAAAGAUACUGGAUAUAUGGAAGGAUAUAUAUACUUAUUAAUAGGGGUGAGAUUCCUUGAAUCUAAUCUCCUCUUUCCAUUUUGCUGCUCGACUAUAUGACAGUUACAACUAAUCCCACCUCAGGCAUAAAAAGGUUAAGAGACUUUGAUGAAAGCAAUUUUGUGGGGUGCUCGUGAAGGUGCUUACAAGUUUCAUCUGGCUAGCUGGAGAGGAAGGUUUGUGCACCAAAAAGACUGGGUGGACUUGGGAAAAGGCAACUCUUAACCAAAUGGUGGUGGCAAUAUGCCACUGAUACCAAUCAUCUAUGGAGGAAGGUGGUUUCAGAGUCAGAUGAAUAUGAUUGUUUCGUUGUAUUUGUGCAGAUUAAAAGCAUUGAGAGGGAAUAUAAAGUACUCGUUUCUCACAAGGAUGGAGCUGCCUCCACUUGAAACAAAUAGAAAAGUUGAGAAUCCAGAGGGCUAAGGUAUGUGCCAGCGACGUUGAACUAAGUGACAUAGUUGUCACCAUUGUGCACAGUAUCCACAUAGUUGUCACCAUUGUGCACGCAAUACUUCACAACUGUUGGUAUACAGAAAAGUUGCAUUAUUCUUGGCAAUUUCUGGUAGUGUGCUGUAAAACUAUGAAGAUUGUAAAUUUGUUGCUCACUUCAGAAUAAUUUUAUCUUUCUUCUUGAAAUGAAAGUGUUCACUAAUGGUGAGAAUGCGGCUUAUGUUACUGACGCCAUCUAUUUCCCUUGUGCAUCUUGUUUGUUUUCUUAAUUGGCACCAUGAGCCAUUUGUUCGUCUUCUGCGUUUAUUUCUUUCCUCAAUUUGGUAUUAAGCUUAUCCGUUUGUCUUAGCAGUUCGUACCAUAAGGCAAAUGUCAUGAGUUUUUCACGUCCCUGGAUAGAUCUGCGAGUUCUGGCUUUAAAACACAAAUAAAGUCGUCCUUUUCUAGUGGAUUUGGGCUCGGGAUUUUGACACCCUGCAAGUUUGAAUUCUAACAUUGGGCUGUCGAAAAACGAUAAAAAAGCCUAAUUGUUUACUUUUUCUCAUGUCUUUAAUUUUCUUAUUGUUUCACGUUUUGGAAUUUUGACGUAAAAACAACCCGACUUCUCUUGAUUUGGACAGUUGACUGAAGAGCUUCUCUUGCAGGGGCCGCACCAAUGUGGGCUCCAAAGUAAAUUUCAAAAAAAUUGAACCAGUUUCUUUGGGCAUGGAAUCCAAGCACUCGGCUAACUGCUGAUGAGGCACUUCAACACUACUUUUUCCAGGAUUUUGUCUUAUUGUAAAGGACAGCGUAUAAAAUAUUUGUUUCCGAUGAAAGAUGUUCCAAAUGAGACACAGCAUAUGAGAUAUCUCUAUCCCAUGGAAGAUACUUCAGGGCUGUAGGUCAUUUGAAUGGAACUGGCUUUCAUCAUAUCAACAUACUUCUUCCGAGUUCCGCCAAAUACAAUUCUGCCAAGCAUGAAGAUGACUAUGACUGGGGGGACAACAUACUGCUUCCGAGUUCUUUGUAACAAACUGCAUGGUUAAAUUAUUUUUUGAUUUUUUGUAAGCCAAAUAUAAUUUAGCAGAGCAUGAAGAUGACUAUGACUGGGGGACGACAUGCUGCUUCUGAGAUCCUUGUAACAAACUGCAUAGUUAAAGACAAGGAAUUUUUUUUGAUUUUUUUGUAAGAAUCGAUGUUCAUAAUUUCAAGUGAUUUGGAUUUGUAGAAAA